GCCCUUUCGGGGGUACACGAGCGGCGAACGGGUGAGUAACACGUGGGUGACCUGCCCUCCACUCUGGGAUAAGCCCGGGAAACUGGGUCUAAUACCGGAUAGGACCACUGAUCGCAUGGUUGGUGGUGGAAAGUUUUUUCGGUGGGGGAUGGGCCCGCGGCCUAUCAGCUUGUUGGUGGGGUGAUGGCCUACCAAGGCGGUGACGGGUAGCCGGCCUGAGAGGGCGACCGGCCACACUGGGACUGAGACACGGCCCAGACUCCUACGGGAGGCAGCAGUGGGGAAUAUUGCGCAAUGGGCGGAAGCCUGACGCAGCGACGCCGCGUGGGGGAUGACGGCCUUCGGGUUGUAAACCUCUUUCGCCAGGGACGAAGAGCAAUUGACGGUACCUGGAGAAGAAGCACCGGCCAACUACGUGCCAGCAGCCGCGGUAACACGUAGGGUGCGAGCGUUGUCCGGAAUUAUUGGGCGUAAAGAGCUCGUAGGCGGUGUGUCGCGUCGGCCGUGAAAACUUGGGGCUUAACUCUGAGCGUGCGGUCGAUACGGGCAUCACUUGAGUUCGGCAGGGGAGACUGGAAUUCCUGGUGUAGCGGUGAAAUGCGCAGAUAUCAGGAGGAACACCGGUGGCGAAGGCGGGUCUCUGGGCCGAUACUGACGCUGAGGAGCGAAAGCGUGGGGAGCGAACAGGAUUAGAUACCCUGGUAGUCCACGCCGUAAACGUUGGGCGCUAGGUGUGGGGA
rnacentral:rRNA from 1 species